AUUAGAUUAGAGAUAAGAAAAUGUUUUAAGAAUAGGAGAAAGCUUCCACCCCCCGCCGCUAGUGGAUCUUUCCUCAGCUGAUAUUUGACUGUCGCGUUGUAGUGGAUAGUGUUCGAGCAGCUUCGAACGGGAUAAGAAGAUGAGUGUUAUCCUGAGGUUGGUGAUUUCCAAGAAAACUUCUAUUUUGAUGUAGGCCUAACCAAGGCGAAGUCUCGACCAAGUUGUCAGAAAAGGACUGCAAUUUUUCCGUCUUAUUUUUUUUUUAUAUAUAUAUUUUUCCGAUUCAGUUUGGUGCUGAAAUGCUUAGGUAUUUGACGCAAAAACUUCGAACUCAGUCUCUUAACGAAAGCGAAGCAUUCCAGUCAAAGGCUGAUGACGAUCAUGAUUCCGGUACAGAGUCAGAUGAUGAAAGUGCUGAUAUUGAGGAGCUUCAGAAAU